rnacentral:rRNA from 1 species
CGCCUCCCAAAAGGUAACGGAGGCGCUCAAAGGUUCUCUCAGUACGGUCGGAAAUCGUACGUAGAGUGUAAAGGCAAAAGAGAGCUUGAUUGCAAGACAUACAGGUCGAGCAAGGAUGAAAAUCGGACUUAGUGAUCCGGUGGUUCUGCGUGGAAGGGCCAUCGCUCAACGGAUAAAAGCUACCCUGGGGAUAACAGGCUUAUCUCCCCCAAGAGUCCACAUCGACGGGGAGGUUUGGCACCUCGAUGUCGGCUCAUCACAUCCUGGGGCUGUAGUAGGUCCCAAGGGUUGGGCUGUUCGCCCAUUAAAGUGGUACGCGAGCUGGGUUCAGAACGUCGUGAGACAGUUCGGUCCCUAUCCGUCGCAGGCGUAGGAAAUUUGAGAAGACCUGUCCUUAGUACGAGAGGACCGGGA